UAGGUCUACGACGGAGUGAAAAGAAACUCUAGAAACUGUAACAAAAUUGUUCUGAAGUAGCUGAAUUUUAUAUGAAACAAAGAACAAUUUCUUUUAGUGAUAUAUAGCCCAUGAAUCAAUAAUAUGCUUGAGUAAUUAUUAUAACCGCACUCCUAUCAUAGUAAAACUUAGUGCGCGUUAAAAAUAGUGCGAUGUAGCCGCUAUUAUUAGAAUAAGUCCCACGCGUUAGUGACUCAUCUUUUGACCACAUUACCCAAACAGAAUUUAAAACGACCGCAUGAUAUUCAUGACGACCUUUUUGUUGAUUCGUUCUUUAAUUACUUGCAGGGAUUCCUUUUUAUUUUUAUUUUUUUUGCCUACAAUUUAAAUUAAUGUUUGUAAAGUAUAAAGACAACUUGCAGUCUCUGUAUUUUUAUAUGUUAUUAUGUACUGUCAUUAUGUUUAAUCCCCAUAUUGUAUAAUUACUUGGGUGAAAUAAAGAUCAUGUUCUGUUCUGUUCUGUAAUUCCCUCUGCUCUACACUUAGUCGGCCCUUAUUUCAUUUUAACAGUUUGUAAACAUGUGGAAAUAAUUGCUGUUCUUUAUUAGGGCAAAAGCCUCUAAGCGUUAUCAUGUCUGUGCGUCAACGCUCUAAGGAGGAUAAUUCUUUUCUUGUGAAAUACUCCGAAGACGGCGAAUAUCAGGUCCGUUCACGUGGACAUUUCAAAACAUUUCAAAACAUCUGACAAGUUGACUGUGGGUCAGUGUUACAAUGGGGACGGGCAACGCAGAUUGCCGAGGCAGAGGUUAUCAACUCUGGCUCGGAAGCUGCAAUGCAAAAAGCCAAACUGAAUGCAAUUUCAGCUCCUCUACGCAAACCGACAGUACCAGGUGCAAAGCGUUCAAGACAAAAUACAGAAAAGAUUUAGGCCGGGAAGAAAAUGGCUACUUUUCUUAAUGUUGGUUCUCCGCCAUCCUACGAUACUCCACCCGCUUCUGCGCAACAAAGUAUUGAUGUAUCGUCAUCAGUCACCACAGAAACGACAGACACCAGCCAGAUACCAACUUCUGCAACAUCAAACCAGAACCUCCUCUAACAAGCCGGAUUAUAACGAACAAUCUAUUUAAGGACCAGCCACGCCUUCCACACACACGGUACCAGAAAAUGGUAAAACACCAGUCACUGAAACAGAAACAUCGAGAUCGGCUUCUCUGACACGUACUCCAUUUAGACCAGUCCGUCCGGUGCAGCCUUCUCCGCAAAUGAAUCAAACUUUGACUUUGUUGAAUGUGCUUACAGAUCAAGUGCGAGACCUAUCAAAGGAAGUAAUUGAGAGUAAAAAGGGACAGGCCGCGUACAAUAAAAGAUUAACAGACAUUGAAGCUACUCAGGCAGUGAUUAUGAGUAAACUUGAUGUUUUGAUUAAUUAAAAGCAACUCCAGUCUUCACCUGUAGAGAACUGUGCCUCGCAUGAUACCGAGGAAGCUCCUGAUAUUGAUGAACAGUAUGUGUUAAGUGAGUCGCUGUUAAGAACUCUAAGACAUGAAGCAAACAACGCGCAGCAUUUCGCAUGUUUACUCUUUCCGCAUGUUUUUCCAGAGCUGUUCAGUGUAGACAAAUUACGUGUAUUCUAUAACUGGAGUGGGAAUGCUCACGGGAAGCAAGAGUUGGAUCCAGGCAGAAAAGCUGUAGUAAAGAAAUAUACAAACCUUUACUAUCCAGAAACGAAAAAUCCUACAUGUUGGGUCCAGAUUGUUACACGUGUAAAUGAACGUCUUAGAAGAAAGGACAAACUACCGAAAGUUCAACGCCAAACUGAAAAUGAAGGAGCUCAAGAUUUCCAAACUCUUGAGAACAUUUGCCCCCUGUCUGACUUGGGUGUCAGUUUCACCCGGCACUUGAACUCUGUGUGAAAUACAAUGCCCUUUUAAAAGAGAAAACUAUAACCAGCUCAUCAAAUGUUGCAUUUACCAACAGAUUGUAGGUUAAGUAGUAAGAAGUCUUCGGCAUGUGUCACGCAAUUUGACAUUCUUAGAUAAACUGAAGUAAUACUGUUUUAGUAUGUUUACUGUACAAGUAUUUUAUCAUGAAUAUUACAAUUGAAUAAAAGUAAUUAUAUACAUGAAAACGUUUUGAUUGUG